rnacentral:tRNA from 1 species
GGCGGCGUAGCCAAACGGCAUGGCGAUGGUUUGCAAAACCAUUUUAACCAGUUCGACUCUGGUCGCCGCCUCCA